GGGGAUUUAGCUCAGCAGCACAGCGCCUGCCUGGAAAGCAUGAGGUCCUAAAUUCAAUCCCCA
rnacentral:tRNA from 1 species